rnacentral:rRNA from 1 species
GACGAACGCUGGCGGCAUGCCUAAUACAUGCAAGUCGAGCGGGGUGUUUUUGAAAGCUUGCUUUCAAAAACACUUAGCGGCGGACGGGUGAGUAACACGUAGGCAACCUGCCUUAUAGUCUGGGAUAACUUCCGGAAGCGGAUGCUAAUACCGGAUACAUCAUCUUUUGGCAUCGGAGGAUGAGGAAAGACGGCGCAAGCUGUCCCUAUAAGAUGGGCCUGCGGCGCAUUAGCUAGUUGGUGGGGUAAUGGCUCACCAAGGCAACGAUGCGUAGCCGACCUGAGAGGGUGACCGGCCACACUGGGACUGAGACACGGCCCAGACUCCUACGGGAGGCAGCAGUAGGGAAUCUUCCACAAUGGGCGAAAGCCUGAUGGAGCAAUGCCGCGUGAGUGAAGAAGGUUUUCGGAUCGUAAAGCUCUGUCUUCAGGGACGAAUGUGCUUUUUGUGAAUAAUGAGGAGCAAUGACGGUACCUGAGGAGGAAGCCACGGCUAACUACGUGCCAGCCGCCGCCGUAAUAC